UUAAGCCGGAUGACGGGAAACUGUCACGUCCAGUUCUUAGGAGAGAAGGGGAGAGCAAUCUCCCUGACUUAUCCGAC
rnacentral:ncRNA from 1 species